rnacentral:rRNA from 1 species
GAUGAACGCUGGCGGCGUGCCUAAUACAUGCCAGUCGAGCGAACGGACGCGAAGCUUGCUUCUCUGAUGUUAGCGGCGGACGGGUGAGUAACACGUGGAUAACCUACCUAUAAGACUGGGAUCACUUCGGGAAACCGGAGCUAAUACCGGAUAAUUUUUUGAACCGCAUGGUUCAAAAGUGAAAGACGGUCUUGCUGUCACUUAUAGAUGGAUCCGCGCUGCAUUAGCUAGUUGGUAAGGUAACGGCUUACCAAGGCGACGAUGCAUAGCCGACCUGAGAGGGUGAUCGGCGACACUGGAACUGAGACGCGGUCCAGACUACUACGAGAGGCAGCAGUAGGGAAUCUUCGGCAAUGGGGGAAAGCCUGACGGAGCAACGCCGCGUGAGUGAUGAAGGUCUUCGGAGCGUAAAACUCUGUUAUUAGUGAAGAACAGAUGUGUAAGGAACUGUGCACAGCUUGACGGUACCUAAUCAGAAAGCCACGGCUAACUACGUG